rnacentral:rRNA from 1 species
AUUGAACGCUGGCGGCAGGCUUAACACACGCUAGUCGAGCGGAGAGAGGUAGCUUGCUACUGAUCUUAGCGGCGGACGGGUGAGUAAUGCUUAGGAAUCUGCCUAUUAGUGGGGGACAACAUUUCGAAAGGAAUGCUAAUACCGCAUACGCCCUACGGGAGAAAGCAGGGGAUCUUCGGACCUUGCGCUAAUAGAUGAGCCUAAGUCGGAUUAGCUAGUUGGUGGGGUAAAGGCCUACCAAGGCGACGAUCUGUAGCGGGUCUGAGAGGAUGAUCCUCCACACUGGGACUGAGACACGGCCCAGACUCCGACGGGAGGCAGCAGUGGGGAAUAUUGGACAACGGGCGGAAGCCUGAUCCAGCCAUGCCGCGUGUGUGAAGAAGGCCUUAUGGUUGUAAGGCACUUUAAGCGAGGAGGAGGCUACUUUAGUUAAUACCUAGAGAUAGUGGACGUUACUCGCAGAAUAAGCACCGGCUAACUCUGUGCCAGCCGCCGCCGUAAAAC